UUCCGGACCUUGGCAAUGGUGAGGCUGCCAUGGAUUCUUCAUCAGAUGAUGAUGAUGAGAAUCCACCACAUGACAUUGACAUACUGAAAUGUUCAAGCAUUCCAUUCAAGUUUCUCUCCUUCAACCUUGAUGAAACGACCCGAACAAGGUCUUCCGGUGGACCUCCGCAGUCGAUGUAGGCCAUUAGAUCCCCGGAGGACAAGGUCUUGACGGCUGCUGCCACCGUCUCGUCGCAGCAGGCCAAGGUGAAGGGAGAAAUUUCUCCAAUCAAACAGCCUUCACUGUCAACCACAGCCACUGAAGUUUGGUCCACAAGAGAUCGAGAAAUGGCUCCUAUGGCUGCAGAAGCAGGGGAGUGGUACUCAAUGGUGAGGAUUUCAGAGCUGAUGAU
rnacentral:lncRNA from 1 species